rnacentral:rRNA from 1 species
UACGUAGGGUGCGAGCGUUGUCCGGAAUUAUUGGGCGUAAAGAGCUCGUAGGCGGUGUGUCACGUCGGCCGUGAAAACCUGCGGCUUAACUGUGGGCGUGCGGUCGAUACGGGCAUCACUGGAGUUCGGCAGGGGAGACUGGAAUUCCUGGUGUAGCGGUGAAAUGCGCAGAUAUCAGGAGGAACACCGGCGGCGAAGGCGGCACUCUGGGCCGGUACUGACGCUGAGGAGCGAAAGCGUGGGUAGCAAACAGG